rnacentral:rRNA from 1 species
GUGGGGAAUAUUGGACAAUGGGCGAAAGCCUGAUCCAGCCAUGCCGCGUAUGUGAAGAAGGUCUUCGGAUUGUAAAGCACUUUAAGUUGGGAGGAAGGGCAGUAAGUUAAUACCUUGCUGUUUUGACGUUACCGACAGAAUAAGCACCGGCUAACUUCGUGCCAGCAGCCGCGGUAAUACGAAGGGUGCAAGCGUUAAUCGGAAUUACUGGGCGUAAAGCGCGCGUAGGUGGUUUUGUAAGUUGGAGGUGAAAUCCCCGGGCUCAACCUGGGAACUGCCUCCAAAACUGCAUGACUAGAGUACGGUAGAGGGUAGUGGAAUUUCCUGUGUAGCGGUGAAAUGCGUAGAUAUAGGAAGGAACACCAGUGGCGAAGGCGACUACCUGGACUGAUACUGACACUGAGGUGCGAAAGCGUGGGGAGCAAACAGGAUUAGAUACCCGGGUAGUCC